UGGGAAGUUAAGAUGGCGGCACCCUUGGGGAAGUCAUCUCUAAGGCUGUACUAGUGGUAGCUGAGUCUCCUCUCCAUGCUAGUGUUUUCCAUUGCCUGAGACGGGAGGCUCUCUGUUCUGCGUGGAGCCCCUCCUAGUGCCAACCUGCCUGCGGCCUCCCUGCCCUCUCUUCAGCCGGCCUUGGGCGCCUCGGCCGCUGGGUCUGUGGCCCAGCAGGUGGGGAAGCUCUUCCAUGACCAGGGCAAGGCCAGAGCAGCCAGGCGAGUGGCCCGGUCACACCCAGGCUGCUCUGUGUCCCAAGAGCCACCCUCUGUUGAGGUGACCUUUCUAUCUGCCGUCCCUGAGAGUCCAGGGCAGCGGACCUGGCCUGGCGGGGUCUGCGAGGCAGCUCCUCUCCGGUGAGGCGGACCGGCCUCAGGCGCCGUGCCCUGUGGGUCCGGCCAGGCGCUCGAUGCUCCCAGGCCCUGGAAACACAGCCAGCAGGGAUUUUCCACCCACCAGGCUUGCUUUUGGAUUAUUACAUGUUAUUAACAAAGAAAAGGAAAUGUGUGGGUUUUCUCACACACAGCCGUCUUUCUCUUCCUUUUCUCCCUGUGAACAAACAUGAAGAGGCACCGUGGACUCACACAGAGGAGGUUCCAGUCCCAGCCCUGUCCCUCCCUUAGUGGCCACAUGGAUUCCGACAGCUCCUGGCCUUCACCGAGUCUCAGGUUUCUCACUGGCAGGUCUGGGGAAAUAAUGCCCGCUGAGGAUGACCCUGAGGGAACACGUGUGGAGGCCUCACCUGCACCAGGAGCAGAGGAAGAACCCAGGAAAUGCCGGGCCCCCUCUCUGAACGGCUGGUGACUUGUCCUCUGGAUGGAGGAGGAGACAAACUCAGGCUCCUGCGUGGCCCAGGAGAGGAUCUGAGGACAACCUGGGGCGACGGGGGAAGACCCCACGGAAGGAAGUGAUCCGAGGAUACACCAGCCUCUCCUGGAGAAGAACAGAGGACCCCUCCUGUUCAGAAGCAUCGCCAUCUUUGUCUUGUGAGCAGCCCUUAGUGUGACUGCGGCUGGAGUCUCUCCCCACAGAGGUCAAGUGAGGGAGGGAAGGCGGGGGCAAUGGUAAUAAUCCAGUAAACUUUGUGCAGGGCACAGCACCACAGGUUCAUUACCGCAUUUAAUUCUCACAGCAAGCCUUUGACCCAGGUACAGAUAUUGUUCCCAUUUUACAGAUGGGAAAACUGAGGUUCAGAGAUGUUAACUGCCAUGGAUGGGCUGACUCUUGAGAGCAAGGCUCAUUGAGCACCAAAUAUGUGCUAGGCUGUGUUCUGCGUAUAUUACCUGGGCCAGUCCUCACAAGAGCCCCUGGCAGCAGAUGCCGUCGCAGCAUUUUGGCAUCAAGGAAGAAGCGAGUGUCAGAGAGGCAGGAGAGGCAGGUAGCUGUGGCCAGACCGUGUGGGGCCAUGUGACCCCGAGGGCAGGGGACCACUGAGAUCUGCAUUUGGGAAGAGGCUGUGAUGGCAGCAUGGAGGCGGGGAGGCUGCAGGGGCGCCGCCGGAGGCUUCUGGAAUGCUCCGUGCAGGAGAUGACUGGCCAGAAUUAAGGCAGGGGCUCCCCACAUAGCAAGUGCUGCAUCAGUAUUUGCUGCUGAAUGACAGAGGGGAUGGCGAGGAGGGAAGGAUAUGAGGGCUGUCUCACAGGUGGAAUCAACAGGCCUUGGAGGCUGGACGUGGCAGUGUGUGGGUGGUGAGGGAGAAGGGCGUCCUUUCUUGUCUGGGGCAAGUGGGAGAUGGCAGUGGCCUUCACUGGGGUGGGGACACCUGAGGAGGAGCAGGUUUUGGGAGGGAAGGGUAAGAUUCAUCCUGGACAGGUUGAGUUGAACAGGUCGAUCCCUCUCCCCUGAGGUCAUGGUUUGGGGAGCAAUUGUGAGAGCUGGGCUGGCUCCGGAGGGUCUUCCCCAAGCCCCAGAUUUCACCUUUGCACAAACUGGGGCCUGGACGGAGAAGGGACUUGCUGGCUGAGGGCCAGCCAGGUGGAGAUGCCUGCAAAGUGGCCCCCGCCACCCUCAGUUGAAUCCCACUGGGAUCAAGGAGCCUUUCAAGGCUUCAGGUGCUUCCUCUUUUUGUUCCUUAGUGUAUUGUUCUGGACACAGCUGGAGACACCUGUCUUUCUUGCCAGUGCCUUUGUUAUCAGAGUGGAUUCUUCUGACCCCAAAUCCCAAGGAAAUGAUGCUCAGAGGAACCUUGAUAAUGGCCAAUCAAAUGCCUCGAUCAUCAUCUCUCAGUAUGUGUUUUGGAAGUAACAGGUGUCCUUAGAACAAAAGUUUUUUGUGAUUACAUAAAUUAGGAAAACUCUGGCCUCCACAUGUAGAACAGGGGCUCUGUGUGCAGGACUUGUCAGGACCUUUAGUAGUGCCGAGUGGAUCUCCCAGAGGGGGCUUUUGUGUGUAGGGUUUCCCACGGGCACCAGAUCAGUGAACAGCUUUCCCAUGGAGCACCCCUGUCCAUCUCCCAGACCUAGUGCUCUGGGGGAACUAUGGUCAAAGCUGGCCUGCCUUUGGGGGCUCUUCCUCAAGCCCCUCAUUUCUUUGUUGGACAAACUGAGGCCUGGAGAGAGAAAGGAAUUGCCUGGCAGAGCCAGCAGGGGGGCUCUGGGCUCAGGAUCCCUUCUCCUUUGUGGGCUUCCUGCCCGGCAACAUAUGUGCUCAAUUUCCCUGGGGCCCCAGAGGGGCCUGCUUUUUCUUUCCAAUGGACUCUUCUGGAAGGGUGGGAGGUUGACCGGGGAUUGGGCUUUGCCCCUGUCUGUGUCCAGGCCUCUGAUGUGGACCUGUGUGAACAUGCCCUUCCCCACCCCCAGCCUUAGAGAGAGUUGUGUCUGAGCACCAAAUUGGACACAAGGCAAAAAGCAAUUAUGGCUCUGGCAUUCCCCAGUGGAGCCAUUUGCAGGCCAGUGAAGCAGGAAGAAGCCUGCCUUGGUGGUGACAACAGAAAUGGGAGCUCUGUGGGUCCAGAGACAAGGGCCAGUGGUGGCCUCUCUGAGCCUUGCAGCGGGGCCUAUACCAUGAGGGCUGUGCAUGCCAUGGGCUCCAUGGGUGCCGCUGGCCCAGAGCCAUUGUGCUCGGCUGAGAUGUACGUUGGCCCUGGCAGGGAGGGGCCAGGAUAUCAGGACACCCAGCUUAUACCAUAGUUUCGCUGUGUGCCUCUCCUGGAGGGAUCUUUACCUGGCUGUGCAGAAGACAGGGGCUUCCUUAAUUCAUCCUGCAGAUACUUAUGGGGGAUCUACUCCACUCCAGGCCCCAUGUGGGGCCCAGGGGUGGGGAGAGAGACGGUGUCUUAGUGUGGGUUCCCUGUACACAAGACCCGAGACGAGGGCCAGGGUGCCACUGAGUUCACUGGGAGCUGAUCCCAGGAAGCAGGAGUGAGGGAGCAUGGAGAGUAGACUAGAAAAGGAGAAAAAACUAACACAAGGGUGUGGGAGAGAGCUGCUGUGGCCACGAUGCCUUAUUUCACUGGGACCUCCAGGGAUGGGGACAGACUGUCCACAGGAAGGAUGGAGGCAGGGCCCAUCCACCCCCACCCACUGGCUCAUCCACUCUGCCCCAGGUUUGCCCUGGGGCUUCCCCCUGCGCUCCUGGCCGUGUGCGCUGGCCCAGGCAGGCUUCCAUGUGCAUGGAGACGUGCAGCAUGCAGGCGUGAGGCGGAUGCUGUCUGAUGUCUGAGGUCACUGGCACCUGCCCCCAAGGCGCAGCAGAGUCGGAGAUGGGCCCGGGGGUGCCAUGUGGGGCACCAGGGGUGUCUGCCUCAUGCCACCUGUCUCCGGACGUGGUGAGGUUGGAUGGUUUCGGGCUAGGGGUGAAGAGGAGUGAGCCCCGACCCUCCCGUCCUGUGGUCUUGCUCCCACGUGACUUUCUCUACAGGCCCUGCAUUAUCAUCUAAUGACUACUGUCACAACAUAUUACCUUGGAAGAAAGAGUUGUAAAAGGGCCACUUUUGGAAAAUGUGGUUGGGAGACCCAGAUUCCUGCCACCCCACUUCCUGUACUGCUAGAACAUUCCAAGAAAGAUCUGAGUAAUGAUUACUCACCACCUUCUGAUUUGGGCAGUCUUAUCUGGCUUCUUGAAAAACUGCAAGUUAGAAAACCAAGCUGGAUUUUUUUCCAUAGAAACUGAAUUAGUAAUGUAAUUUGUUUUAACGUGGUCAUGAAAAUGUUAAUCUAAACCCUGAAAACAAGCUCUGCCAAGGCUGCCGAGAUGGCUCUUCAAAUCUGGGGGCUGCCAGGUUAUGAGAGGGUUCCCCCAGCUAGUGUAUCUGGAAUGGGCGUUUUUGAGAUGCUCCUCACCUUCAGAGAGCUGCGUUGCAGAAAAUGUGUGUCCUCAGAAUCCAGUGAGUUCCCCAUGUCUCCUCGUAGCCGGCGGAACGUCCUUGACGAGGGUUUCCUGUUGGAGCAGCACUAAUUCUCAGCCUGUCACACAAGAGUCCUUCCUGGCUGGAGGAGCCGGGGCUGCCUGUGCAGUAAUGUUUGGUGUCAAAACAGUUCAGGUGGAAAUGUGUGUCCUUCCUGCCAUCCAGGAAGGUUCCGCAGAGGGGCUCUGAGGCAGUGGUCUGUCCCCGUGUCUAUGGGAGGGGCUUCAGAGGCCAGGGGCUGCAGGCUGGGACUGAAGCAGCCACGUGGGGAGCCCUGAUGUGCUGGGGUGGGGAGCCAGGCAGGGGUGUGGAGGUAUGUGGUUGUCAGAGGGCAGGGCUGUGUUGGGAAGCACCAGGCCGGGAGGGUGGGCAGCAAAGGUGGGAACCAUGUCUAUAAUCCAGUUGGUCAAAUUCUAGCCACAGAGGCCUAGGCAAGGACCCAAGGUUACCCCACCAAUGCCCAUCCAGCCUGGGCUAGCAUGGUGGUUAGAAGCUUAGAUGGGGACUCAGAAGAUACAUACAUCAGACUUUGGAACAGCACAAAGGAGGGAGAGCAUCUAUAUUUUAAGAUAGAAUUGGAAUUAAAACAAUACCCCAUUGGCUGGUGAGGGGGACAAUUUUGGAAGACGAAAAGAUUCAGGAAUAAGGGGAUAAGCCUAUAUCAGGUCCAUUGUGUAAGUACAGGGUGGGGCUGGAGAGAUGGAAGGAUCUGGUCAGCAGCAUAGGUAGCACAUUCCUGGGGGAGGGGAGGGUCUGCUCACCCACACCCUCCCCUGGGGGGCCCCUGAACUUUUGAACUCUGGGGCCCGCCCCUCCUGGGCCACAGCUGAUUGGAGCAGAGAGGAGACUUAAUCCAAGGAGAGCCAAUCUCUUGGCGAGAUGAGUUUAUCAGCUUCGUCUCUUGGGAAUUUGGGAUUGGGAUCAGAGAUGUUCACCAGCUGGAGGGUGCCACUGGAGCUGGGGCAGCCAAGUUUGAAUGUUUGAGCAGGGUGCAGAAAAAGAGAUCUGUAGGAGAGGGAAGAAUGAAGAGACUGAUGGCCAGAGAGGAGAGAUGAGAAACCGUGCAGGCCUGGGCUCAGCUGGGGUGGAGCUGGAGAAGGCAGCUGACUUGUCCCAGCCAUCUGGUCCCCAUUUCCCAUACCUGCACUUUCUGCCCUCAGUUCCUGUACAUAUUCUCAGACCUCUGGUUAAAAUCCACUUUUUUGUGAACUAGUUUGAGUGGGCUUCAGUUACUGGUAUCUGAAACAAUCCCUGGGAGAGCCAGUGUCCUCACUGUCAUCAGCAGGACAGAAGCCUGUGGAG
ensembl:lncRNA